rnacentral:rRNA from 1 species
CGGGUACAACGAGUCGCAAGCUCGCGAGAGUAAGCUAAUCUCUUAAAGCCGUUCUCAGUUCGGACUGUAGGCUGCAACUCGCCUACACGAAGUCGGAAUCGCUAGUAAUCGCGGAUCAGCAUGCCGCGGUGAAUACGUUCCCGGGCCUUGUACACACCGCCCGUCACACCAUGGGAGUUUGUAACGCCCAAAGUCGGUGGCCUAACCUUUAUGGAGGGAGCCGCCUAAGGCGGGACAGAUGACUGGGGUGAAGUCGUAACAAGGUAGC